rnacentral:rRNA from 1 species
UCCUUAGGUGAACCUGCGGAAGGAUCAUUG